CAACGAAUCUGUUGUUGCCUAUGUCCUGAGAGUAUAAGUCGAAGGAGCUUGCCCAUGAACCAGCACAUAAAAAAGUGAAAAAUCCACAGGGUGAUUUGGAGCGUUUGCGGAACUAUUUGGGCUAAAAAGAGUGAAGAAUCAAAGAAAUAUCAAAGUUGGAAGCAUGAGCGAAGAGUUAAAGAGAAAUCAAGUUUUCAGAGCAUGUGGUAUGUCAACCUUGAGUUUUUCUAGUUUGAUCCUGAGUUUAUAGUGAUCAAGCAAAUCCAGAACAACUAGAAUGUCAAAGAAAUGCUUUGGUGCAUUAUAGAAAGUCAAAACAUAUGGAAUUAAAACAUAUUUCCUA